rnacentral:lncRNA from 1 species
ACUAGCAAACAACCUCAGCUUCAUAAAUCCAGCAGAAAGGUCCGGGGUAUUGUUGAAAAGGUCGGAAGGACCAAGAUUAUGUCCGCCAGCCUAAGUGGGACGAACAACCAAGUUGUGCGAUGCAGCUUUAAAGGGGCUGGUGAUUGACAGAAUGGUGUAGUAGUAGAUGGGGUGGAGCCGCUGGGUGGGGUCGAGACUGGCAGCUGAGAGAUACCAAAAGGAAGAAAAAAGAAAACCAUUGCUCUUGAUAUUGCUAAUGCCGGGGGAGGUAAGCUAACGAGAAAGUAGGGAAAAGGAAGGUUUUAGAGUUCACCUCCACUCCUUCCCCUGGCUAACACUCUUUACACUCUUCUGCCUUCCCUUGAGAUAAUUAAAAUAGACUGUACACCGGCCCUAGUCGGUGCCCAUUCCCCCUAACUCUUCACUCAACUACGUGUGUAGUCCGAGGGAGUGAGGACCCCGGGUCCAAGAGCUCAAUCCCGGCCCCGCCCCGUCGGCCCAGGCCCCGGGGCUGGGAGGAGAGGAUGCCUUCGGAGGCGCAGAAUCCGAAAAGAUGUGGUUGGAGCUGGAAGCUGUUAUCCUCAGCAAACUAAUGCAGGAGGAGAAAACCAAAUACUGCAAGUUCUCACUUAUAAGUGGGAACUGAAUGAUGAGAACAUUUGGACAUGAAGCUGGGCAGAGAAAUCGAGCUGCAAAAUGACCUACAGAUAUUACAGUUUUAUUCUUGGAAAAUGGAGGUUGUCUAUUAGUGUGAUGGUAACAACCAACUAAUAAAAUUUGGAGACUAGACUGCUUGUCAUGUCUGGGGUUCACUGGAAAUCAAUGAUUCACUGGAACAAUUCUCCUGUCAAAAAAAAUGUGAGGUUUGUAACUUGCCCUAAGUAUAACAAGGGAUAUAUUUUAACAAAGGAUGUAUUUUUUCUUAAGAAGCAACCAUUUCUCAGCUUAUACAUAAUAGCAAUAAUAAAGUCUUUGACCCUAUUAAUGAUUUUCUUAUUUAAUCUUGAUUUUUACAGUUCAUCACUGCAUUUCAUUAUGGGAAGAUUUAAAUAUUAAAUAGAAACUAGCUAGCUUAAUAAAAUCUGAACACAGUUAAUGUCUGUCAUAAUGCUCAUUUUAAUACAUUUCUAUCCUUCAUUCUGUUGAUAUUAUGUAUCAUAUUGAUUGAUUUGCACACAAUUCACCAUCAUUGCAUCCCAGGGAUUGCACUUGGUCAUGAUGAAGGAUCUUUCUAAUGUAUUGUUGAAUUUGGUUUGCUCAUAGUUUGUUGAGGAUUUUUGCAUCAAUAUUCAUUAGAGAUAUUGGCCUGUAAUUUUUUUAUAUGUCUUUGUCUGCUUUUGGAAUCAGGGCAAUACUAGCCUUGUGGAAUGAAUUUUAAAGUAUUCCCUUUUCACCUAUUUUUUCUGAAUAAUUUGAGUAGGAUUGGUGUUAGAUCUUCUUUAAAUGUUUGGUGGAAUUCACCAGUGAAGCCACUGGGUCCCAGGAUUUUCUUUACUGGGAGACUUUUUAAUACAGCUUCCAUCUCAUGACUUAUUAUUCAUCUGUUUGUGUUUUGGAUUUUGUAUUAGUCUGUUUUCAGGCUGCUAAUAAAGACAUACCCAAGACUGGAUAACUUAUAAAGGAAAGAGGUUUAAUUGACUCACAGUUCCACAUGGCUGGGGAGACCUCACAAUCAUGGUGGAAGGCUAAUGAGGAGCAAAGUCACGUCUUACAUAACAGCAG